UACGAAGGGGGGCUAGCGUUGCUCGGAAUCACUGGGCGUAAAGGGUGCGUAGGCGGGUCUUUUAAGUCAGGGGUGAAAUCCUGGAGCUCAACUCCAGAACUGCCUUUGAUACUGAAGAUCUUGAGUGCGGGAGAGGUGAGUGGAACUGCGAGUGUAGAGGUGAAAUUCGUAGAUAUUCGCAAGAACACCAGUGGCGAAGGCGGCUCACUGGCCCGAUACUGACGCUGAGGCACGAAAGCGCGGGGAGCAAACAGGAUUAGAUGACCCGA
rnacentral:rRNA from 1 species